GCGAUACAGGGUGACAGCCCCGUACACAAAAAUGCACAUAUUGUGAGCUCGAUGAGUAGGGCGGGACACGUGGUAUCCUGUCUGAAUAUGGGGGGACCAUCCUCCAAGGCUAAAUACUCCUGACUGACCGAUAGUGAACCAGUACCGUGAGGGAAAGGCGAAAAGAACCCCGGCGAGGGGAGUGAAAAAGAACCUGAAACCGUGUACGUACAAGCAGUGGGAGCACGCUUAGGCGUGUGACUGCGUACCUUUUGUAUAAUGGGUCAGCGACUUAUAUUCUGUAGCAAGGUUAACCGAAUAGGGGAGCCGAAGGGAAACCGAGUCUUAACUGGGCGUUAAGUUGCAGGGUAUAGACCCGAAACCCGGUGAUCUAGCCAUGGGCAGGUUGAAGGUUGGGUAACACUAACUGGAGGACCGAACCGACUAAUGUUGAAAAAUUAGCGGAUGACUUGUGGCUGGGGGUGAAAGGCCAAUCAAACCGGGAGAUAGCUGGUUCUCCCCGAAAGCUAUUUAGGUAGCGCCUCGUGAAUUCAUCUCCGGGGGUAGAGCACUGUUUCGGCAAGGGGGUCAUCCCGACUUACCAACCCGAUGCAAACUGCGAAUACCGGAGAAUGUUAUCACGGGAGACACACGGCGGGUGCUAACGUCCGUCGUGAAGAGGGAAACAACCCAGACCGCCAGCUAAGGUCCCAAAGUCAUGGUUAAGUGGGAAACGAUGUGGGAAGGCCCAGACAGCCAGGAUGUUGGCUUAGAAGCAGCCAUCAUUUAAAGAAAGCGUAAUAGCUCACUGGUCGAGUCGGCCUGCGCGGAAGAUGUAACGGGGCUAAACCAUGCACCGAAGCUGCGGCAGCGACACUAUGUGUUGUUGGGUAGGGGAGCGUUCUGUAAGCCUG
rnacentral:rRNA from 1 species